AGGGCAGGGAGAGCCCUAAGCGAUGGAGGACGGACGCUCCCUGGACCUCUGGGCGGCUCUCCAGCUCCCAAGACCUUCCUCCUUCAGCCGGCCGCGGCGAUUACCACGGCUCCUCCGACGUCCCCGACCGCAGCUCCGCUGCCUCUGCUGCCCGGCUCGCCCGUGAAACUUUCCCAGGCUCCUCCGAGAAACGCUGCCGCCAGCACUCUCCGGACCGAGAGACAAGCCGUCAGCGACCCGGAUGGAGCGGGAGGGGAAGGGCUGGCGGUUCCGGAACAGUGUUGGCUCACGUUUUCAGCUAACUUCUUGGAAGAUACGAGGUUAAAUUACCCAAACUCUUUCACUCAGAGAAAAACAGGGCUUACAGCUACAGUUCCUGCUUCAUGAAAACGAAAUCCAGAUUUCACAGGCCAAUUUUAACAUCAUCUUGAUACUAAAUCUGUGUGUGUUGUGGUCUCAAAAAAGGACCCAGUGAAUGAAUGGAGGACAAUUUGUUGGAACAAGAAAAAGAUUUGCUCGGUAAGCCGCCAAGACCAAGAGCAUGGAGUAGCUUGCUGACAUUUUAACCUUUUAAACAGAGGUUCCAUGCUCUCUUUAUCCUUAGGAGGAAACUCCGUAGCUAUCAAUCUCUGAGUGUGUGUCAAUCGUGAAGAAGUGGGGAGGGGCGGGGGGUAGUCCCAUGCUAAACAACUGUACUGCUAGCUUAGAGUGAAGGAAGCUCAAGACCUUUCCAGCAGAGGAUAGGUGUAAAUAAAAUGACAGCCUCAUUUUAAAAAAAAGAGACCUUGAAACGCAGUUUUGAAACUGUAUAGUAGUUAGUUUUACACAGCGUUAUGGCUUUACUGGGUGCUUUAGCCAGCUAAGCAUGGCACUAAAGCUAAGUUUGGCUGUCUUCAAACUUGUGGACCCUCCCUUCAGAAUGGUUAAGAUUGCAGGUGUAGGCCAUAGCACCUGGCUUAUACCAACCAUACUAGAGCCUGGUUGUUUGUUUGUUUGUUUUGGGUUUGUUUGUUUGUUUGUUUGUGGUUUUUCGAGACAGGGUUUUUCUGUAUAGCUCUGGCUGUCCUGGAACUCAUUUUGCAGACCAGGCUGGCCUCGAACUCAGAAAUCCGCCUGCCUCUGCCUCCCAAGUGCUGGGAUUAAAGGCGUGCGCCACCACACCGGGCUGAGCCUGGUAUUUUUGAAUGAAUGUUAACAAUCUGUGUAGUCAACCACAGUACACAGGUUGGUUGUUUUUAUUUAAAAGUAUGUUUCAGAUUAGGAGAUGGUUACUGAUGUGUUUAUUAAAAGAUAAAGAAGUA